AUUGAACGCUGGCGGCAUGCCUUACACAUGCAAGUCGAACGGCAGCACGGGUGCUUGCACCUGGUGACGAGUGGCGAACGGGUGAGUAAUACAUCGGAACGUACCUUAUCGUGGGGGAUAACGCAGCGAAAGCUGUGCUAAUACCGCAUACGCCCUGAGGGGGAAAGCGGGGGAUCGAAAGACCUCGCGCGAUUAGAGCGGCCGAUGCCUGAUUAGCUUGUUGGUGGGGUAAAAGCCCACCAAGGCGACGAUCAGUAGCUGGUCUGAGAGGACGAUCAGCCACACUGGGACUGAGACACGGCCCAGACUCCUACGGGAGGCAGCAGUGGGGAAUUUUGGACAAUGGGGGCAACCCUGAUCCAGCAAUGCCGCGUGAGUGAAGAAGGCCUUCGGGUUGUAAAGCUCUUUUGUCAGGGAAGAAACACCGGCUCUAACACAGUCCGGGAAUGACGGUACCUGAAGAAUAAGCACCGGCUAACUACGUGCCAGCCGCCGCAGUAACAC
rnacentral:rRNA from 1 species